rnacentral:rRNA from 1 species
ACAUUGGGACUGAGACACGACCCAGACUCCUACGGGAGGCAGCAGUGGGGAAUAUUGCACAAUGGGGGAAACCCUGAUGCAGCGACGCCGCGUGGAGGAAGAAAGUCUUUGGAUUGUAAACUUCCUGUUGUUGAGGAAGAUAAUGACGGUACUCAACAAGGAAGUGACGGCUAACUACGUGCCAGCAGCCGCGGUAAAACGUAGGUCACAAGCGUUGUCCGGAAUUACUGGGUGUAAAGGGAGCGCAGGCGGGAAGACAAGUUGGUAGUGAAAUCCAUGGGCUCAACCCAUGAACUGCUUUCAAAACUGUUUUUCUUGAGUAGUGCAGAGGUAGGCGGAAUUCCCGGUGUAGCGGUGGAAUGCGUAGAUAUCGGGAGGAACACCAGUGGCGAAGGCGGCCUACUGGGCACCAACUGACGCUGAGGCUCGAAAGUGUGGGUAGCAAACAGGAUUAGAUACCCUGGUAGUCCACACUGUAAACGAUGAUUACUAGGUGUUGGAGGAUUGACCCCUUCAGUGCCGCAGUUAACACAAUAAGUAAUCCACCUGGGGAGUACGACCGCAAGGUUGAAACUCAAAGGAAUUGACGGGGGCCCGCACAAGCAGUGGAGUAUGUGGUUUAAUUCGACGCAACGCGAAGAACCUUACCAAGUCUUGACAUCCUGCGGCGGACAUAGAAAUAUGUUUUUCCUUCGGGACGCAGAGACAGGUGGUGCAUGGUUGUCGUCAGCUCGUGUCGUGAGAUGUUGGGUUAAGUCCCGCAACGAGCGCAACCCUUAUGGUCAGUUACUACGCAAGAGGACUCUGGCCAGACUGCCGUUGACAAAACGGAGGAAGGUGGGGAUGACGUCAAAUCAUCAUGCCCUUUAUGACUUGGGCUACACACGUACUACAAUGGCGUUAAACAAAGAGAAGCAAGACCGCGAGGUGGAGCAAAACUCAGAAACAACGUCCCAGUUCGGACUGCAGGCUGCAACUCGCCUGCACGAAGUCGGAAUUGCUAGUAAUCGCAGAUCAGCAUGCUGCGGUGAAUACGUUCCCGGGCCUUGCACUCACCGCCCGUCAA